rnacentral:rRNA from 1 species
CUUAAAUUGAAGAGUUUGAUCAUGGCUCAGAUUGAACGCUGGCGGCAGGCCUAACACAUGCAAGUCGAGCGGUAGCACAGAAGAGCUUGCUCUUUGGGUGACGAGCGGCGGACGGGUGAGUAAUGUCUGGGAAACUGCCUGAUGGAGGGGGAUAACUACUGG